rnacentral:rRNA from 11 species
UGAAAAUGGAUGGCGCUCAAGCGUCUCACCCAUACCUCGCCCUCAGGGUAGAAACGAAGCCCUGAGGAGUAGGCGGACGUGGAGGUCAGUGACGAAGCCUAGGGCGUGAGCCCGGGUUGAACGGCCUCUAGUGCAGAUCUUGGUGGUAGUAGCAAAUACUCAAAUGAGAACUUUGAGGACUGAAGUGGGGAAAGGUUCCGUGUGAACAGCAGUUGGACACGGGUUAGUCGAUCCUAAGCCAUAGGGAAGUUCCGUUUCAAAGGUGCACUUUGCACCGUCUGGCGAAAGGGGAGCCGGUCAAUAUUCCGGCACCUGGAUGUGGGUUUUGCGCGGCAACGCAACUGAACGUGGAGACGACGGCGGGGGCCCCAAGCAGAGUUCUCUUUUCUU